UACCAGACUCCUACGGGAGGCAGCAGUGAGGAAUAUUGGUCAAUGGGCGAGAGCCUGAACCAGCCAAGUCGCGUGAGGGAAGACGGUCCUAUGGAUUGUAAACCUCUUUUGCCGGGGAGCAAAAAGCGGUACGUGUACCGCAUCGAGAGUACCCGGAGAAAAAGCAUCGGCUAACUACGUGCCAGCAGCCGCGGUCAUACGUAGGAUCCGAGCAUUAUCCGGAGUGACUGGGUGUAAAGAGUUGCGUAGGUGGCAUAAUAAGUAGCUAGUGAAAUCUGGUGGCUCAACCAUUCAGACUAUUAGCUAAACUGUUAAGCUCGAGACCGUUAGGGGUAACUGGAAUUUCUAGUGUAGGAGUGAAAUCCGUAGAUAUUAGAAGGAACACCGAUAGCGUAGGCAGGUUACUGGGACGGUACUGACACUAAGGCACGAAAGCGUAGGGAGCAAACGGGAUUAGAUACCCGAGUA
rnacentral:rRNA from 1 species